rnacentral:tRNA from 2 species
AGGAAUGUAUUUAAUUAUAAUUAUUGAAUUGCAAUCAAUAGGUGCUUAUUAGCCAUUCUUA